AGAGUUWGAUCCUGGCUCAGAAUCAACGCUGGCGGCGUGCCUAACACAUGCAAGUCGAACGCGAAAGGGGAGCAAUCCCUGAGUAGAGUGGCAAACGGGUGAGUAACACGUGGGUGACCUGCCUUCGAGUGGGGGAUAACGUCCCGAAAGGGACGCUAAUACCGCAUGACAUCCUGCCUUUGGAAAGGCGGAGAUCAAAGCUGGGGAUCGCAAGACCUGGCGCUUGAAGAGGGGCCCGCGCCUGAUUAGCUAGUUGGUGGGGUAACGGCUCACCAAGGCGACGAUCAGUAUCCGGCCUGAGAGGGCGGACGGACACACUGGGACUGAGACACGGCCCAGACUCCUACGGGAGGCAGCAGUGGGGAAUUGUUCGCAAUGGGCGCAAGCCUGACGACGCAACGCCGCGUGGAGGAUGAAGGUCUUCGGAUUGUAAACUCCUGUUGCUCGGGACGAAAAGCUUCGACCUAAUACGUCGAAGUCUGACGGUACCGAGUGAGGAAGCCCCGGCUAACUCUGUGCCAGCAGCCGCGGUAAUACAGAGGGGGCAAGCGUUGUUCGGAAUUACUGGGCGUAAAGGGCGCGUAGGCGGCCUGCUAAGUCGAACGUGAAAUCCCUGGGCUCAACCCAGGAACUGCGUCCGAUACUGGUUGGCUUGAAUCCGGGAGAGGGAUGUGGAAUUCUUGGUGUAGCGGUGAAAUGCGUAGA
rnacentral:rRNA from 1 species